rnacentral:rRNA from 1 species
GACGAACGCUGGCGGCGUGCUUAACACAUGCAAGUCGAACGGGUCUGCCCUGUUUUUUGCGGGGUGGGUCAGUGGCGAACGGGUGAGUAACACGUGAGUAACCUGCCCCUCACUUCUGGAUAACCGCUUGAAAGGGUGGCUAAUACGGGGUGUUCUGGCUGUGCCGCAUGGUGUGGCUGGGAAAGAUUCACUUUUGUGGUGUUUUGGUGGGGGAUGGGCUCGCGGCCUAUCAGCCUGUUGGUGGGGUGAUGGCCUGCCAAGGCUUUGACGGGUAGCCGGCCUGAGAGGGUGGGCGGUCACACUGGGACUGAGAUACGGCCCAGACUCCUGCGGGAGGCAGCAGUGGGGGGUAUUGCACAAUGGGCGGAAGCCUGAUGCAGCGACGUCGCGUGAGGGUUGGAGGCCUUCGGGUUGUGAACCUCUUUCGCCGGUGAAGAAGGUCCUGCUCUUUGUGGUGGGGUUGACGGUAGCCGGGUUAUGAAGCGCCGGCUAACUACGUG